ACGAACGCUGGCGGCGUGCUUAACACAUGCAAGUCGAACGAUGAUGCUCCAGCUUUGUUGGGGUGGAUUAGUGGCGAACGGGUGAGUAACACGUGAGUAACCUGCCCUCUUCUUUGGGAUAACGGUCGGAAACGGCUGCUAAUACUGGAUAUUCACUCAUUGGCGCAUGUUGGUGGGUGGAAAGGUUUUUCUGGUGGGGGAUGGGCUCGCGGCCUAUCAGCUUGUUGGUGGGGUGAUGGCCUACCAAGGCUUUGACGGGUAACCGGCCUGAGAGGGUGACCGGUCACAUUGGGACUGAGAUACGGCCCAGACUCCUACGGGAGGCAGCAGUGGGGAAUUUUGCACAAUGGGCGCAAGCCUGAUGCAGCGACGCCGCGUGAGGGAUGAAGGCCUUCGGGUUGUAAACCUUUU
rnacentral:rRNA from 1 species